UCCCAGCCACAGGAGCAGGAUGUGCUAAAAGAAAAUGUAGCGCCGGUUUAUGCACCGCCACCACCACCAACACCUUCCGCACCUCUAACAAUAAUAUAUGAAAACGAGACGUCAACUACCACUCCACUUCAAACUAUAACAGACCCGAUGUGGAGCAAAGGAAAUAUGAUUCCGGUGAGGGUGGCCGCAAAGAGACCGAUACGUUAAGAAUUAAACCCACAGUGGUCUGGGAAGAAUACAAAAUAUGAACAGAUUUCCCCUGUGCAAAACAAUUUAUAUGAUCUCUCUGAGGAGGAAAUGGGAGCCUUUUUCCAAUCGAUGUGAUGAUGCUCAAUGUGGUGUGACUUUCAUUCAAUGUGGUGUUUAUAGGAAUAACAUUUAUAAAUUUUAUUACGGACAUAUAUGCAAACAGACUGACACGGUUAGUUUUUUUUUUAAAUAUUUAAUAAAUACUAUCACUAAUAUGUGUCUAUCUUAUAAUGUCCAUAGGCAUAGCUUUCAAUUGGGUUCUUCCAGUAACGUUUAUCAUCAAAACUACACAGUCCUUUUUUCACAACGGUAUCCAUGAAAAGUUCAUGAUUUUUACUUCUAAUGCACGUCAUUGAAUUGGUGGUCGUAGUUUCUUCAUUCAAACAUUUCUUAUACAUUUCAUGUCGGAGAGUCUGUUUUAUUUCAGUUUUUGAAAUGCCUUUCGCCACUUUUUUUUCCUUUUCGCAUGUGAUACCUUCUGUAGAGGUCUGGUUAUACAAAAGGCUGUACAUUUUAGGUCUCAAGCCAACGAAUUCUUUUAAAGGAACACCUGAAAAGAUUUUUUGAGGCACAUGAGAAAGACAAUAUUUAAUAAUAAUUUAACAGAAAAUUCAAAGAAAAAAGGAAAAUUUAAAAGAAAAUUCAAAAGAAAAAGGAAAAUUUAACAGAAAAUUCACAAGAAAAAGGAAAAUUUAACAGAAAAU